UACGUAGGGUGCGAGCGUUAAUCGGAAUUACUGGGCGUAAAGCGUGCGUAGGCGGUUCGUUAAGUCAGCUGUGAAAGCCCCGGGCUCAACCUGGGAACUGCGGUUGAAACUGGCGAACUAGAAUCUGGGCAGAGGGGGGUGGAAUUCCACGUGUAGCAGUGAAAUGCGUAGAGAUGUGGAGGAACACCGAUGGCGAAGGCAGCUUACUAUGGUUUAAUUGACGCUGAGGCACGAAAGCGUGGGGAUCAAACAGG
rnacentral:rRNA from 1 species